GCUGAUCCUCUCCUUCGCAGCCGACAGUUCCACCCUGAGAGCACUAAUCUUGGCAGCUUGAGCCCAAAUUCGGUCGCUGGCGCUCUUCUUGUAUUCCUCAAGCUCCUUCGCGAAGUCCGCCUUCCUCCGGCCAUACUCCAUGAUCCCCUUCACGUGGAGAUUCCGAAAGCGGAUGGCCUCCGCGGUGGCUUCAGAAUGACC
rnacentral:lncRNA from 1 species